CAGAUAGCUCAGCUGGUAGAGCAUCAGACUCUUAAUUCCACGGUCGUGGGUUUGAACCCCACAUUGGGCAAGA